rnacentral:tRNA from 1 species
GUCUGCGUAGCUCAGCAGGAUAGAGCGACCGCCUCCUAAGCGGUAGGUCGGAGGUUCGAAUCCUCUCGUGGACG